rnacentral:rRNA from 1 species
AAUAUUGCACAAUGGGGGAAACCCUGAUGCAGCAACGCCGCGUGAGUGAAGAAGGCCUUCGGGUCGUAAAACUAUGUCCUAUGGGAAGAAACAAUGACGGUACCUUAGGAGGAAGCCCCGGCUAACUACGUGCCAGCAGCCGCGGUAAUACGUAGGGGGCAAGCGUUAUCCGGAAUCACUGGGCGUAAAGGGUGCGUAGGCGGCCAAUAAAGUCAGGGGUGAAAGGCUACGGCUUAACCGUAGUAAGACUUUGAAACUUAAUGGCUUGAGUGCAGGAGAGGUAAGUGGAAUUCCUAGUGUAGCGGUGAAAUGCGUAGAUAUUAGGAGGAACACCAGUGGCGAAGGCGACUUACUGGACUGUAACUGACGCUGAGGCACGAAAGCGUGGGGAGCGAACAGG